rnacentral:lncRNA from 1 species
UGAAUAAGAAUCGGUGUAGUUUUUACCAAACUUUGGAGCACCACCAGAAACCAAGAUACCAGGAAAAAUGGUAUCGCCCAAAGGUGGUAGAUUCACCAGGGCCCCAACAUCCCUUAAGGUAACAGACAUGGGGCUAAGAGGGAAAAUAAAGGUGUUAUACUCGGAAGACCAAAAACUCAAAGCAACCGAAAAGAGUGCUGAAUCAAAAGUAGGGGG